GGAUUAGAUACCCUGGUAGUCCACGCCGUAAACGAUGUCUACUUGGAGGUUGUGGCCUUGAGCCGUGGCUUUCGGAGCUAACGCGUUAAGUAGACCGCCUGGGGAGUACGGUCGCAAGAUUAAAACUCAAAUGAAUUGACGGGGGCCCGCACAAGCGGUGGAGCAUGUGGUUUAAUUCGAUGCAACGCGAAGAACCUUACCUACUCUUGACAUCCUCAGAAGAGACUGGAGACAGUCUUGUGCCUUCGGGAACUGAGAGACAGGUGCUGCAUGGCUGUCGUCAGCUCGUGCC
rnacentral:rRNA from 1 species